ACAAGCGGUGGAGCAUGUGGUUUAAUUCGAAGCAACGCGAAGAACCUUACCAGGCCUUGACAUGCUAGGGAACCCGGGUGAAAGCCUGGGUGCCCCGCGAGGGAGCCCUAGCACAGGUGCUGCAUGGCCGUCGUCAGCUCGUGCCGUGAGGUGUUGGGUUAAGUCCCGCAACGAGCGCAACCCCCGCCGUUAGUUGCCAGCGGUUCGGCCGGGCACUCUGACGGGACUGCCCGCGAAAGCGGGAGGAAGGAGGGGACGACGUCUGGUCAGCAUGGCCCUUACGGCCUGGGCGACACACGUGCUACAAUGCCCACUACAAAGCGAGGCCACCCGGCAACGGGGAGCUAAUCCCAAAAAGCCGCUCUCAGUUCGGAUUGCAGGCUGCAACUCGCCUACAUGAAGUCGGAAUCGCUAGUAAUCGCGGAUCAGCACGCCGCGGUGAAUACGUUCCCGGGCCUU
rnacentral:rRNA from 1 species